GUACAUGUAAGUCCAUCAAUCUACAUUCUGAUAUAAUUGCAUGUAGCAACUGUUUUAUGGCGAAAUACAGUACUGUAAUUGGUCAGAACAGCAAUCUUCAUACUCAUGACAGUCUUUAUCACACUGGCAGUUGAAGUCAUCACUAUAACUGCACUGACGUGGUGGUGAACAUGAAUUUGAAACUAAAAAUGAAAAGAAAAGUAAACUAGAGGCAAACAAAAGAUAUAUACAGUAGCUGUUGAAAUGGUGUAUAGUAUCAGUUUAAAAGGCAUAUCAUGUUUAUCAGGUUAAAUAAAGGCAAGAGUAGUAUACCACUGUUCGAAACUCGUAAAUCGAUAGAAAAAAAAACAAAUCCGGUUUCCAAACUAAAACUGAGGGAAACGCAUUAAAUAUAAGAGGAGAACAACGACACAACAGAAACACAACAUUAAAAUGUAACACACAGAAACGAAAAAAGAUAUUUUUGUUCUACAGUAUUCAGGUCUUCUGGUAUUUUAUACCACCAAUUGGAUAUGUAGAUGUGACAACCAUAACAUAAUUUGGAGUCAUCAAUGCUUUUCUACUCGUAUUUAAUUAUUUAUUCGAGUGUAACCAGAAACAAAUACAUUAAAACAGUAUAUAUUGGUGUAACUGUUGAUUCUUUUGUAGACGCGGUUGGCG
rnacentral:lncRNA from 1 species